rnacentral:rRNA from 1 species
AUGGUAACACAACCGACUGAGGUUCAGGAGAGUGUGCACAAGGUUCAUUGUGCAGUUAUAACCUAUAUUAAUGCAUUACUGAAAAAGGCUUUCAUCUCGCUUUAUAUAUAUAAAGCAAACCAUCAGAGCCACAAGAUUCAACAGAGCCUGGAUUUCCGCAAAGAUGUCGGGGAAGUUGUUGUUGCACCAACGUCCACCGACCACCUCCUGGAAGCAACUCCUAAGGAAUUGCGCGGAUACACAAGUGAAGAAGAUGUGAUUCGAGUCCUCCGCCGUCCCACACAGGGGGCAAAGCCGAUCACCAGGGCCAUUCCUCUUGAGGACCUCCAUCUCUGA